CAACGUUCCUUUUUCUUCUUUUUUUAGGAUCUCUUAAACCUUCGGUUCCUCAUGUGGGAACAGAACCAGAUUGGCACACUCAAGCCGAAUGUUUGUCGGAAUGAGGAACCUGUCAGAGCUGGACCUGACUGAAAACGCUUCCUCUCAAGUGCCGUCACACAAUCUCAUCCACGGCCGCAAGCUGCCAUGUUCCCGAAUUUCACGGCUUGCAGUGUUAACACUUGAAUGUCCUGGCCUAAGCCUCCUCGCGAGGACAUCGACUGGAGGAGUCGGUCGUUGCCAGAGCCGCCGCAAGCUGCGUCUUCGACAGUGUUACGAAAAGGUUUUCGCGCCCCCCCCCCCCCCCCCAUGCAGGUAUUUUUCUCAAAAUCAGUCUCGUCCUUGGAAGUGUCAUGAUGCCGCGCUGUUUUGAUGGGAUGUUGCAACCACCACUCAUUCAGGUCACGCUUGGAAAAAGCCAUGUUGCUCUUCCCUUUUAUCUGCUUAAGGUCACCCAAAUAAUUCAACAGUGGCCCCGCCCCCCACAACGACCAUGGGCGCUCACACUGUCUCUCCGGGACGAUUUCGAGUGUUCCGUGAACCUUCCAUGCAUGUUUUUGGAGCGUGGGAGAAAAGGGGAGUACCCGGAGAAAAGCGCACAUCCCCUUCAAACUUGAACCGCGUCCAGCUCAAGAAUUUGCACGCCCACGAUAACACGAACUGAUUGAGCAGUUUCCUAUGCUAAUGCCUUCGACACUUUUCUCCCCCUUUCUCGGUGAUCCGUCUAAUGGAUGCGUCACGCUUGAUGAAAAUCGUUUGCGGCUCGUUUCCCAUCCCUCUGUGUUCCCGUUACCAGCUGGGGUUCGCGUUCCGAGCCAUCUGCAUUUGUAUUUGUGUGCCGAAGGAAGGAAAAGGCGCCGAUCCCAAUGUGGUUUUGUCUUCAUGAGUAGUUGUUGUUGUUUUUAAUUCAUCUCAAUAAAUCUAGACGUCCCUUUUAAUCACUGCUCAGGGAAAAAAAAUGCGAGGAGGGCCACACUUCCUCACGUCCCUUCUAAUGAACACCGAGGGGUCCACAAUGACACUGCAAACUAUCGAGCCACCGAGACAUAUUGUGGACAUUUAGCCGUUUCUUGCUAGAUCGAGCGUCUGUUGCUACGACGAGUGCAAAGAGCGCGUUUGAACUUGAAUGGCUUCUUCUUGCACUUCCCAAACUGCCCGUUAGGUGCGCUGAAGGCUUGAGACGUUUCCGUUUGUGACCAACAGGUGGCAUCGGAGGGCUUCUCCUCCAGCGUCGCACCUGUUGGUCAUGUGUCAUCGUUUCUUUUCAGUUCAAAGGACUGCCACUUCACGCUUUCAUCAAGAGGGGUUUUCAGGACUUUGUGUGUGUUUUUUGAUGUCGUUUUUUUUUCCCUCAGUGUGCCUUUCUAAGUGUUUUUGUUGAGCUACUUUGUUGGGUACAUCCCGCUUCUCCUGCCUGCCUGCCUGCCUUCCUGCUUUUUUUGGGUCCUCCGCCGUCACGCAUGAUGACAGAAUGUCCAGGUUGCGCCGCCUCUCGCUCACUCGGCUGUGGCUACCCGGAACGCUGAUAAGCAUAAACAGAGAAAGUGGAGAGACGGAUGGCCUGUCGCCAUUCAAUUUAUGAAACGCAAUUGCUCUUGGGUGUUACAAGGUCGACAUUUUAUGAUGGUAAAUUCAUUUUCUUUUGACUUUGAUUGUAAGCGUAUUCAUAUGCUCCUGUCAUGCUGAGGCCAGCUGUUAAUAUCGAUGGCCUGGAUCCACGUGGCGCUGGUUUGGAAAAAAAAAACAAAAAAAAAACACAACUGAACCCAGGAUGUGCACGCUGGGAGCAAAAUGGAGACCACGCUGAGCUGGAACACAAAGAGCACACGCCAACAAACAAAGCAAAGCUUUGGCAAGACGGCGUUUGCUUGCAACUCGGCCCUCUCCGACACCACAGCAAUUUUCACACAGGAAGAUGCUGACUUCAUCACACGGUCGUCAUGGCUGCUGGCUACCGAGCAGCUUUACUGCAGGUUCAAAGUCUCUCUGGCAAUUGAUGAAGGGCCACGGUGGGUUUUGUUUUUGUUUUUUUUCCCACAUGCUGCCCGCUCGCAUGAUAUACAGUAUGGAGCCCUUGAGAUAUCCUCCCUCUUUAGGGCUCCGGCAUCGAUCUCAUUAUGAAAUAGUCGUUCCCGAGCAACAAUGCCCUGUUUAAUUGAACGUGUCACUGCCGUCGGUGGAGGGAAGAGGAAGUGAGAGAUUGCAGGAGGCUGGGCAACGUCGAGUAGCAGAAUGGACACAAAGACACCAGUCGAUCCCGCAGGGAUCAAACACAAGACAUGUUGA